ensembl:lncRNA
GGGUUUGCAGCACGUUAGCCUGUUUUCUUUUUUAUUUACCAUUUAAUAUUUCUUUAUUCAAUGCCGUUGAUGAAACGACUGCGUUCCCUGAAAUCUGUUUGUGUAAAUAAACAAAUACACGUUAUUUAAACUCGUGUAUAAAAGUGCACUGAUCAGUGCUAAUGGUCCGAGUCGAAGUCGGCCAGGUUAAUCUAGUUAUGCGUAAGUUUACACACCCUCAGGAGCACAAAUAGGAUAUGAAUAGUUUAGUUUUGUUUUUUCCCCUGAGACGAUGGAUUUUCAUAAACAGCAGGUUUGUUGUGUGACUGCUCUGUUCGUAUCCGGGUCGGUGAACGAGGCACGGAAUUUGUAAGACAAAUAAUGUGAAUUAAAAAGGAGGGAAAUCAAAGGAGUUAUUUUGAGACUUACAUUUUCUUUCAGUUAUUAAUAAUUAAAUGAAAAAAGAAAUAAUGACAAUAGUUGAUACUGAGUUAUUAUUGUAAGUAAAAUGAGAAGUAUUGAUUAUUUUUAUUAACUUAUUAGUAUUUGUGUAUUUUAUUUUUAAAUAGUAUUUAUUUAUGUAUUUGUGUAGUAUUUAAGAGUAUAGAGAAUAGAGAGGAGGGGAAUAGAAAGAGAGAAUAGAGAGAGAGAAUAGAGAGAGGGAAUAGAGAGAAUAGAGAGAGAAUAGAGAGGGGGAAUAGAAAGAGAGAAUAGAGAGGGGGAAUAGAAAGAGAGAAUAGAGAGAGAGAAUAGAGAGAGAGAGAAUAGAGAGAGGGAAUAGAGAGAAUAGAGAGAGAGAAUAGAGAGAGAGAAGAGAAUAGAGAGAGGGAAUAGAGAGAAUAGAGAGAGGGAAUAGAGAGAGAGAAUAGAGAGAGGGAAUAGAGAGAAUAGAGAGAGAAUAGAGAGAGGGAAUAGAGAGAGAAUAGAGAGAGGGUGAAUAGAGAGAGGGAAUAGAGAGAGAACAGAGAGAGGGAGAAUAGAGAGGGCGAAUAGAGAGAGAAUAGAGAGAGAGAAUAGAGAGAGGGUGAAUAGAGAGAGGGAUAGAGAGAGAGAAUAGAGAGAGGGUGAAUAG